rnacentral:rRNA from 1 species
AGUGAACGCUGGCGGUAGGCCUAACACAUGCAAGUCGAACGGCAGCGCAGUAAGAGCUUGCUCUUACGGGUGGCGAGUGGCGGACGGGUGAGGAAUACAUCGGAAUCUACUUUUUCGUGGGGGAUAACGUAGGGAAACUUACGCUAAUACCGCAUACGACCUACGGGUGAAAGCAGGGGAUCUUCGGACCUUGCGCAAUUGAAUGAGCCGAUGUCGGAUUAGCUAGUUGGCGGGGUAAAGGCCCACCAAGGCGACGAUCCGUAGCUGGUCUGAGAGGAUGAUCAGCCACACUGGAACUGAGACACGGUCCAGACUCCUAAGGGAGGCAGCAGUGGGGAAUAUUGGACAAUGGGCGCAAGCCUGAUCCAGCCAUACCGCGUGGGUGAAGAAGGCCUUCGGGUUGUAAAGCCCUUUUGUUGGGAAAGAAAAGCAGCAGGUUAAUACCCCGCUGUUCUGACGGUACCCAAAGAAUAAGCACCGGCUAACUUCGUG